CUUUGUCUGUUUGUCACCAUUUCAAGUUACAUCUGGUCAAAGAGUUUUCUUUCUGCUGUUCAGGUUCAUGGUCCGUUUAUCUCUUGUCAUAGUUUUUCAUGUUCCUGUUCAGACCAUGUUCAAGUCAGUUUUUAUGUUUUAGUUUUAGUUUUUCUCCAGUUUGCUUUACCUUGUUUUGACAUCAGCCGAGAUAUAAACGGCACACUUUUUUUUAAUACCUUGUUUUUCUCCUGUGUCCGCAUUUUUGGUCCACACCUCCAUGACAGUUUUUAAGACUACAUGAAUGGUUCGGUCCUGGGACCUAUCCUGUUUGCUCCCACUAGGACACAUCCUGAAUAACCUUGAAGACAUUUCAUACCAUUGUUAUACAGCUGAUAUUUCAUUGUACUUGUCUUUGAAACCCCAGAAUAUGACCAAAUUAUCUGUUGUUCAAGACUGCAUCCAUGUUCUAAAGGACUGAAUGGCAGCCUAUUACCUGUUUCUGACUACACAAAAACUGAUGUUAUGAUCUGUGCCCCUGACAUCUUUGUUCCCAAAAGUAAUUUAAAUCUUGGACCUUGGGAUAUUUUGCGCUGAGUAAAUCAUCCCUGGAUUGCUUGCAGAUGAUCCAGAAUGAUGCUGAGGCUUCUCACCAGGGCCUCCAGAAGGUCCAACGUGACCCCAGUUUUGUCUUCUUUACACUAGCUUCUCAAGAAGUUUAGAGUUCAAUUUAAAAUUCUGGUGAUCAGAGCCCUCCAUCGUCAGUUGCCUCCAUAUAUCAGUGAGCUACUACAGCCAUACAUAACUUCUAGAUCUCUGAGGUCUGCUGAUCCUUAGAUCUGUGCUUUUGAGGUGUGGAGAAUUUGCUUACUCUGGACCGAAGAUCUGUGUUGAUACAUUUCUAAAAGAAACUUAAGACCAGCCUGUGUAGGCUUGCCUUGAUUUAGUUUUAUACCAUUUUAAUUGUUGUGUAUUAUUCUCUUCUGCAAAGCACUUGGUGAACUUUGUUCUUUGAAAAUGCAAUAUAAAUAAACCUUACUUACUUAAUUAUUUUA